UACGAAGGGGGCUAGCGUUGUUCGGAAUCACUGGGCGUAAAGCGUGCGCAGGCGGCUUCUCAAGUCAGGGGUGAAAGCCCAGAGCUCAACUCUGGAAUUGCCUUUGAGACUGAGUGGCUUGAGUACGAGAGAGGUGAGUGGAAUUCCCAGUGUAGAGGUGAAAUUCGUAGAUAUUGGGAAGAACACCGGUGGCGAAGGCGGCUCACUGGCUCGUAACUGACGCUCAUGCACGACAGCGUGGGGAUCAAACAGG
rnacentral:rRNA from 1 species